UGAACCCAUCUGCAGUUAUUUUGUGCCUUUAUUACCGUAAUUUCCGGCCUAUAAACCGCAAUUUUUUUUCACAUGCUUUCAACCCUGCGGGUUACGCAGUGAUGCCGCUAAUUUGUAUUUGCCGCAAAAGAUCAGGCGAGGGGAAAAGGUAUGAGUGACACCCGUGGAAUAUAUGUGCAGAGGAAGUGAAUUUUACCCAUAUGUUUUUUUUUUUUUAACUGGCCCUGUUAGUGCUGCGGUAACGCUGUGCUUGCAGGUUGCUGCUCUGUUACUGCCAUGUCUCAGUUAUUUUUACUGCCCUGUUAGCGCCGCGCUAGCGUUAGCAUCAUGCUAGCUUGUUGCUGCUGUGUUACUGCUGAGUCUCAGUGAUUUAGCUUGUCUGGCGACUCAUCAAUAUUUCACACCCGCAUUACUUCAAGUCUGCUUGCAGAGGCAGAAGCAGGUCAGGUUUGUGCUCGGCUAUGUAAGUCAGGUGAUGGGGAGGCCAUUCCGAGGAAACAGAUUUUUGUAUACAAUUUAAAAAUAUUAAUUGCCAUUAAGUACAAAACUAGCUUCGACACCUCAAGAUGCUGCCUAAUAAGACAAGCCUUAAGUUCAAAGGUGAGUUCAAUUCUUGAGCUUUUUAGUGAAUUAUGGCUAAUAAGCUUCGACAGAAAUGUGUUAUGCAAACUCCCAUCAUGAAUCAGCCGGGGUUCACUGUGAUAUUUUAUCUUCAAUUUCCACCAAUGACAUCCUGCAUUGUCAUAUCGAUGUUUUGUCACGCUAUAACCUCGAAGUGCCUGUUUUUUCUCAGUCAGCGCUCAUAAAAAGAAGAAAAAGAAGUGCGGUCAUUUGAAAGGAUGGAGGAUCUGGAUUUUUGCCAAAGUCAUCAUCCACUAAAGCUCGUUAGGUGGCCCUCAUUUUAUUUUUAUAUUUUUUUUUUACAGUAGGCCUACACAUUUUCACAGGCGGCUUACACAAGCCGGAGGAGUUUUUCGCUUCCUGGGACGAAUGCCGUGGCGUGUCCUUGCACUCCCACUCGCGCAGGCCAUCUGUCAAACAUACCGUCUGUUUAAUUCAUACGGCGUGACACGUCCACCCACGACGACGGCCGUGCAAAUGAGGACGCUCGUUAUAAAAUGUCGCCGGCGUACACGGCGAGUGACAUGUGUCACCGCUGGCGGAGAGGGGGGGGGGGGGGUGGAACAUGUCAGCCGCACUGAACCGAGCGCACCCCUGCAGCACAAAAACAAGCGCCCUCCCUCAGAAAGUGGGUCAAGGACGACCUCUUCAAACCCCACGCUCGGUUGAACGCAAAAGUCUGAUGAAACCUUUCAGGAACAGCUCGACGGCGCUCGUUAAGCUCUUCGUCUCGAUUAGAGUUGCAGUCAGUGCGACGCUGUCAGGCAGCCAUUCGUCGCAGCAGUCGGGAUGACAAAAGCGGCGCCGGCGUCGCUCUUUAAGAUAGGCGGCCUGACGAAACCUCGCGCCACGAAGCGAAACUUUGAGAUCAGACCCUGGUGAUGUCAAAUGACCGCCUGUGAACAAUUAAAAUUGGACGCGUAACAGUAGGAAUCCACCAAAAAUCAAUGUUUGGUGUAUAAAUUGCUUUUGAGGCAACGGAAGGGAAGAGAAAACAUAAAAAGUGCUUAAAUUGAAAUGGAAAAAAAAUUGCAAACUUCAAGCAAUAAAUUCUCCACUAAAUGUAAAAUACAGUAACCAACAUAACAAAUUAAAAUCAAAAUAAAUAUUGAAGAUAAGAUAACGGUUUGAAUCUUUUCCUCUUUGCCUUCUUUUUAGCAAAGUGCAACAUCAAUUGUUCUUUUUUCUUAUUUUGAGGAAUGUGAAUAAUUAAUUUUUCCUCCUGGAAGUGUGACAUUGAUUGUCUACCUUGUUUUUAAGACAACUGAGAUUACUAGUUUGUCUUUUUGUUUGUUAGAUCAGCAUCUAUUUUUUUAUUUUUGUUUUUACUUUUUAGUCAGGAGAAACUGCCAUCAAUAAUUUUUAUUCUUUUCAUUAAACUGCUGGAUCAAUAAAUAAGUUGUCUGCUUUUUAGGAAAUUGAAACAACUUUUUUUUUCUUCUUUUGGGGUAAUUGCAACAUAUAAACUUGUCCUCUUUUUCUUAUAUAAUGAUGUUAUUAUGUAUAUUUUUGCCAUUCAUUUGUUUUUGUUUCAGGCCAGUGUAACAUUAAUAGCUUAUUGUAUUUAAUGGAAAGUGUAACCUCAAACGUUUUCAAUUUAUUUCAGUAGUAAUCAUCCAUUCAUUUUCUUAGCCGCUUAUCCUCACAAGGAUCGCGGUGAGUGCUAGAGCCCAGCCCAGCUUUCAAUGGGCAGGAGGCGGGGUACACCCUGAACUGGGGACGUAGACAACAGUGGCACUCACAAUCACACCU